rnacentral:rRNA from 1 species
UACGGGGGGAGCAAGCGUUGUUCGGAUUUACUGGGCGUAAAGGGCGCGUAGGCGGUCAGCACAAGUCAGUUGUGAAAUCUCCGGGCUUAACUCGGAAAGGUCAACUGAUACUGUGCGACUAGAGUGCGGAAGGGGCAACUGGAAUUCUCGGUGUAGCGGUGAAAUGCGUAGAGAUCCGGAGGAACACCAGUGGCGAAGGCGGCUCGCUGGACCUGACCUGACGCUGAGGCGCGAAGGCGUGGGGAGCGAACGGG